CUUUAUCUUCUUGCCUCCUCUCUUCUUCGAGGCUCUUCUGUUGUCUUUUUACAUGUCCAGACAAAUAUGAUCUUCUCUUGUCAGACAUCAAGCCUGACUGACCCAGCAUAACGAGUGAUGUCACAGGGUCAGUCAGGGUCAGGAGUCACAGGUCACAGCUGAUUUUCCAUAGUAUAUAACUAAAUUCAAUAACCAAUAUUAUUAUGGCGCAUAUUAUAGAGAGCUGUCUUUCAUUUUAUUUUAUUAUUUUACGUUUCUUUUUUCAGUGAUUUUUUUGCACCACUAGCAAGCAGUGACUGUAGGGGGCCCUCUGCUGGCCACGGGGCCCUAUGCCACCGCAAAGGUUGCUUAGUGGCUGGGCCGGCUCUGAACUCAGUGUGUAAUAGUUAAUCAGUAGAUCAGUGGUGUCUGUCAGUGGAUAUGUGGAUAUGCCUUUUACAUCCCUUUACUGUAAACGGCAAAACAUGGUACUGUUUUAUUCUCAAGCAAAACCACUAGUGAAUAAUACAUUCACACCUCAGUUUCCUCUCGAUAAGAUCUGUAUCAUUAUCAGUCAGAAAAUGAUUUUAUAUAAUAUAACAGACAUGAAGUAAAACACAACACAGAAAACAUCACCACCUGUUUUCUAAAUAAUUUCCAAACCCCAGACCCCAACCCUUUGUGCACAGCUGUUUAACAAAUAAUAUUAUCUAAAAAUGCAAGAGCAGGAAAAUUGUUUGGCAUUGCCCCAUUAAGACAUCUUUAUAAUUCAUUUGGAUAAUUUGUGACAGUUAAUAAACCAAUGGGUGGUAAAAGGUAAAGUGCUGACGGGAUGCUUUAUUAAAAUAAAGAUUAUAAAGAUUAUUAUUAGUUAGAAGAAGAUAACAAACGACCGUUGGGAUCAUUAUGACUAUGUUUUAGUAUAUUCUGGGUGGGGAAUAAAAGUUAUAUUGAUCAAUUUGUACUUUGAGCCUUGAGAUGUCAAGAAAGACUCAUAAACAGGGAGAUUUGUAGUUGAGAAGAAAGGACCACAACACAUCUUACAGUGAUCAACACAGGCAGGAAAUAGAUAUUUUGUUACAAAAAUAGGCACACUGGGGAUGGAGAGAUGACAACUUAGUAAUGAAGUGCUGUUCAGUCUGAAGGUACUGUUAAAGUUAUGUGGAUGAAUGUUCCUGUGUGGAUCUCUUACUUAAUAUUUCCGACUUAUGGGGAAAUAAUUGUCAGAAUUUCUUUAAUCUAAUGAAAUGAUCAUUUGUUGUUUUCUGAACAGUGUAACGCUGGAAAGAACAUGUAAUAAAUUAAUAUUUAACAGCAGGAGAAUGGUGCUGAUUUUGGUAGAUAGAUUUGUCAGUUUUGAAUUACUUUGUGUGUGCUGGAUAACAUACUCUGUACUCAUAGGAACACAUAUGAUUCUUUAAUGUUUAAAUGUAUUUAAUAUGCUUUUUUUCUCCCCAGACAUGUUAUACCAUAUACUUUUGAUUUUGGUGGUUUUGGUAUUAGUGGAACAUGCUUCCUUUGCAGCUGCUCCUUUAAAGAUAGUAAAGGAAGAACUCACCCAUACAGAAGCCAUUAAGGAAGUUGAGACAACUCAGAACCUCACAAGGAGAAAGGCUGGAGCGCUUCCAAAGAGAUUACUGAGGCUGCUGUUUUACUGUUCUACCGCUGAGAGCAUUAUUUGCACAUGUAGCUUAUGACUAUAGUAUAUGGCAUGCCAGUUUAAUCAAGAAUACCAGUUGUAGCCAUUAAGCCAACGAGCCUUGUGUUUCUGCUCGUGUCAUUGGCCAUACAAAACAGACCAGGUUACAGUAAACAGUCAUUUGUAAUUCAACCACACUUCAGUAGAUGGCUGUAUUGAACAGCAUAUUCAAAUAAAACAUUAAACAUUG